GAUGAACGCUGGCGGCGUGCUUAAUACAUGCAAGUCGAGCGAACAGAUGCAGAGUUUGCUCCUCUCACGUUAGCGGCGGACGGGUGAGUAACACGUGGAUAACCUACUUCACUUCCUGGUAUAACUUCGGGAAUCCGGCGCUAAUAGCGGAGAAUAUAGUGAUCCGUAUGAUUCUGUAAUGAAAGACGGUUUUGCUGUCACUUAUCGAUGGAUCCGCGCCGCAUUAGCUUGUUGGUAAGGUAACGGCUGACCAAGGCAACGAGGCGUAGCCGACCGGAGAGGGUGAGCGGCCACGCGGGGAUGGAGACACGGACCAGACCCCAGCGGGAGGCAGCAGUAGGGAGUCAGGCGCAAUGGGGGAAAACUUGACGGAGCAACGCCGCGUGAGUGAUGAAGGUCUUCGGAGCGUAAACCUCUGUUAUGAGGGAAGAACAAAUGUGUAAGUAACUAUGCACGUCUUGACGGUACCUAGUCAGAAAGCCACGGCUAACUACGUG
rnacentral:rRNA from 1 species